CCGAGCGGGACCCGGCUCCCCCGUCCCUCCCCUCCCCCCAGCGGGCCCGCGACUGGCGGACGCGGAGGGGUGAAACCCGCCCCCUUCCGGCUGGUCCCGCGCGCUGGCGGCGGAGGUGCGUUUCGAUUCCACAGGUAUGUGCCGGGGCAGCUGGACACUGUGCGCGCCGUGACUCGAAGGUGAAGAAUGCAAAGAACCACCCCAUGAAUCAUUCAUCCGCGCCUCCGGCGAGAGGUCUUGCCCUGAGGGAUCUUCCCAAAUGAAGUUCAACCCAGCGAGCGUUUCGUGAGCGCCGGCUCCGCGCUUAGCUCGCUGCCAGGUGCUGCGCAGGAUAUUGGAUGCUACCUAAAUGCCCAAACAGGAAGACUGGUUGAAUAAACUUACAACUGACACCUAGGAAGCAAGAAAAAUGAAUGAGGAAUCUUUAUAACUGAUUCAUUGUAAUUUCCAAGAUAUAUUAUUAAGUUUUAAAAACAAAGUACAAAAACAAAUGUAUAGUAUGUCACCUUUUGUAUAAUAAAGACAAGAAAAUAAA